CACAAAUCAGGUUUUCUAUGAUAUAAAGAUUUUAGAUAUCUGGAUGGGAAAGUUUGUCACUUAUGGAGGAGGAAAUGAAGUUUUUAUUCUGGUUUUAGGCUCAGGACAGAAAUCCAGACUUGAUGUUCAUUUAUUUCAGUCUUUAUCAGGAAAAUAAUGCAUUAAAAUUUCAUCAGAAGCCUGAAACACCCCAGGAUUCUGUGUAUUGUAUUGUGGGCUUUAUGGCCCUUAUUGUUGUUCCAUCAGGUCUCCCUAGCAAGAAAGCAACACCAGAAGGAGGUGGAGAACAUCGCUCAGCUGGAGCAGGAGAAGUUUAACCUGACAGAGCAGGUGGAGCAUCUAAGAGACACGGUGAAGGGCAUGGGAUACGUAAUCCUUGACCUGAACAUGGAGUUUGCUAAUCUAAUGAAAGCACAUGAGCGAGAGCAGGACGCUCCCAGGAUCCUCCAAGUGAAGAACGACAAGCUGAAGAAGACCCUGAAUCAUGAGGAGGAGAUACUGAAGGUCUCCUUGGCUGAAGCUGAGGAGCAACACCAGAGGGAUGAGGAGACCAUUGAUUAAAAUUCUAUUUUCAAGUUGCAAGAUUCAAUCUGCAGCUCAUUGCAGAUGUGAAGGUUAAGCUCUUGAGUGUGAACCUCUUUUUCUCCAGGAUUGUGUACGAGACUGGGAGGACCAACUGAAGGUAAAUUUUCUUCUCAAGAAGCUAGGACUGCUUUUGUGAACUGAUAAAUAACUUGCAGGAAGACAAUCAGAAAUCCAUCAGCUUAGAUCCUCCGUAAGGGAGUCAGUUUUUAAAUGAGUCUGAAUGUGUGUGUAGAAGUAAAUGAAUUCAUUGAGCCUUAAUUGUUGUCUUUUGAGGUCUCUGUGGCUAAAGGUGAGAAGAAACACCGUAAGGCUAGGAAGACUAUCAGCAACUGUAUAGGAUAUUUUUAAAAGUUUCUUGUCAGUAGCUGUGAUUUCCCUCAUCUCAUUUUGGGAGUGUGUCAACUCAAAAAAUGCCCUGGGCUUGUCACGGUAUUGGGGAUGAGUUGUCUUAUUAGUUUGGACGGCCUCAUGCAUUCGUUAGCUAGGACUUUGGCGCAGAUAAUGCACUGUGGCUGGGGCAGGGAGAAAAUGAAAUAAAACCAUAGUUCAGGUAACUAUCUUGGUAUUUCCUGCAUUUCGUGUUUCCAGUAUUGCUAGCAUUGCAACCCAAAUUGGUGGGAGCUUCCUCAUCUGGGUCCAGUAUGCCAGGGUCAUUACUAUCAGCUGCUGUAGGCGAAUCAGUGGGACUCUGUCGUUUUUGUGGAGGACGAAUUACAAAUUUGUCCAUUUUUUGGUCAGCCAGGGGAUCAUGGAUAAAAUGAGCUAAUGCAAUAUGAUUGUUCUCCUUAAUGCUAACUGUCCAACACUUUUCAAAAUAUGACGCGACCCCCCACAGAGCUCACUGAGGCCCCCUUGUGGGCUGGGACCCCCCUGUUGGGAACCGCUGAUCUAGACAAUUUAGAUAUUUCAGCUGGUUUUGAUGAGAUAUAUAACUGGGUAUCAUCAGCAUAACAAUGGAAACUAAUCCCAUGUUUUCUAUUGAUGUUACCCAAGGGAAGCAUGUAUAUUGAGAACAGCAGAGGUUCUAAAGCUGGAUGUAAUAAAUGAGGAUAUGAUGCUAGUGGGUGCAAGUGUUGAGGAUGUGGAAGAUAGGGAUAGGUGGAGAGAGAUGAUUCGCUGUGGUGACCCCUGAAGAGAAAAACCAAAAGAAGAAGAGGUCCUAAAACUGACCCUUGUGUGAACCUGUAUUUCACUGGCAAUACACUGGACAGUUCUCCAUUUAAAUCUACAAAAUGGUAUCGAUCAGACAGGUAGGAUCUAAACCAUUUUAAUGGCUGUCCAUGAAUACCUGUGUGACUUUGUAAACGAUCUACAAGAAUAUUAUGAUCUGUAGUGUUGAAUGCCGGACUAAGAUCAAGUAAGACUAAUACUGAGAUGCAGCCUUGGUCCGAAGCUAAAAACAAGUCAUUUGUGAUUUUAACUAGCACAGUUUCUGUACUAUGAUGGGGCCUGAAACCUGACUGAAAUUCUUUAAAGAUAUUGUUUUCCUGUAAGAAGGAGCAUACUUGAGCUCACACCACCUUUUCUAAUAUUUUCGAUAUACACCGAAGGAUUGAAACCGGUCUGUAAUUUGUUAUUUCAUUAGGGUCUAAUUUAGGUUUUUUCAAGAAGAGGCUUAAUGACUGGCAACUUGGGAGGUUUAGGGACGUUAUCUAAAUAUAGAGAGGAAUUAAUAAUGUUUAGAAGCGGCUCUCCAGAUGUAUGUAUCACUUCUUUUAGUAAUCUAGUUGGAAUUGGAUCUAACAAGCACGAUGUUGAUUGCAGCAUUGUAGCUCUAGAUGUGGCGCUUUAGGCUGGACUGGAUCACGGGAUGCUGUCAUGCUGAACAUCCAUUAUUUUGUUCCUGAUACUAUCAGUUUUUUCAGUGAAGAAAUUCAUAAAGUCCUCACUACUAAACUGUGAUGAAACUCUCUCUCCAGAUAUCUGAGGUUUUGUUAGUCUAGCCACUGUACUAAAUAAGAAUCUGGGAUUGUUCUGGUUUAUUGCUAUCAGUUUGCUCAGAUGCUCAGCCCUAGCAGCUUUUAGAGCCUGUCUAUAGCUGGACAAACUGUCUUUAUAUGCAAUUCUAAAAAUCUAGUUUUUCUCCACUUUCGCUCGAGGCGUGAGUAUGACUAUUGUACCAUGGUGCAGGUGUUUUAUCUCUGACCUUUUUUAAUCAGAUGGGGGCAACAGUGUCUAGUGUUAUAUAAAAACUCUAGUAUUAUGGUCUCUCUCUCACUUUAUCUCUCUCUCUCUCCCUUUCUGUUGAAUUGUAAUGUAAGGUCUCACUGCAUGUAGUUUUGAUUAUUGAACAUAUUUAGCUCCUGUCAUGAAAAGCUUUUUGUCCAUGUUCUGU